rnacentral:lncRNA from 1 species
AGUUCAUAUGAGGAAGUAAGUACCAUCUGCUUUCGCAGAGAUCUAUAUUUGAUUCACGUUUCUGAAUGUGAAGCACCUUUUCUUCACUCAUAUAUCUUCUACUUCUUAUUAGUCACACUUUUACAACGAUUUGUAAAACAUAGUCACUAAUACGGAAUCAUGCAUUCAAGUAGAAGAACCAACUGUUUUGAACUAUUCAAGAA